UACCAGCACCCCGAGUGGUCGGCACGAUUAUUGGGCCUAAAGCAUCCGUAGCCGGUCCUGCAAGUCUUCCGUUAAAUCCAGCUGCUCAACAGAUGGGCUGCGGGGGAUACUACAGGGCUAGGAGGCGGGAGAGGCAAGCGGUACUUUAUGGGUAGGGGUAAAAUCCGUUGAUCCAUAGAAGACCACCAGUGGCGAAGGCGGCUUGCCAGAACGCGCUCGACGGUGAGGGAUGAAAGCUGGGGGAGCAAACCGG
rnacentral:rRNA from 1 species